UUCUGACCACAAAUCAGAAGGUUACAGGUUCAAUUCCUGUAUUAGCCU
rnacentral:tRNA from 1 species